rnacentral:rRNA from 1 species
UCUUCGGAGCACCGGCGGACGGCUCAGUAACACGUGGACAACCUACCCUCGGGUGGGGGAUAACCUCGGGAAACUGAGGCUAAUACCCCAUAGACCUCGGAUACUGGAAGGUUCCGAGGCCGAAAGCUCCGGCGCCCGAGGAUGGGUCUGCGACCUAUCAGGUAGUUGGUGGUGUAAAGGACCACCAAGCCUGCGACGGGUACGGGCCCUGAGAGGGGGAGCCCGGAGAUGGACUCUGAGACACGAGUCCAGGCCCUACGGGGCGCAGCAGGCGCGAAACCUUCGCAAUGUGCGAAAGCGCGACGAGGGGAGCCCGAGUGCCCUUCCUUCGGGGAGGGCUUUUCUGGAGCCUAAAAAGCUCCAGGAAUAAGGGCUGGGCAAGACGGGUGCCAGCCGCCGCGGUAAUACCCGCAGCUCAAGUGGUGGCCGCUUUUAUUGAGCCUAAAGCGUCCGUAGCCGGACCCGUAAAUCCCUGGGUAAAUCCUGGCGCUCAACGUCAGGAAUUCCGGGGAGACUGCGGGUCUUGGGACCGGGAGAGGCUGGAGGUACUCUCGGGGUAGCGGUGAAAUGCUGUAAUCCUGGGGGGACCACCUGUGGCGAAAGCGUCCAGCUUGAACGGCUCCGACGGUGAGGGACGAAG